rnacentral:rRNA from 1 species
UCAAAUCUGGCAAGUCGAACGAGAGACCUUCGGGUCUCUAGUGGCGAACGGGUGAGUAACACGUAGGGAACCUGCCCGCGCACCGGGAAUACGCUCUGGAAACGGAGAACAAAUCCCGAUGUACAGGAAGGAGGCAUCUUCUUUCUGUGAAACAUCCUUUAGGGGAUGGGGCGCGGAUGGACCUGCGGUGCAUUAGUUGGUUGGCGGGGUAAAGGCCCACCAAGACGAUGAUGCAUAGCCGGCCUGAGAGGGCGGACGGCCACAUUGGGACUGAGACACGGCCCAGACUCCUGCGGGAGGCAGCAGUAGGGAAUUUUCGUCAAUGGGCGCAAGCCUGAACGAGCGAUGCCGCGUGAGUGAAGAAGGCCUUCGGGUCGUAAAGCUCUGUUGCGGGGGAAAAAAGGCAGCAUCAGGAAAUGGGUGCUGACUGAUGGUGCCCCGCCAGAAAGUCACGGCUAACUACGUGCCAGCAGCCGCGGUAAUACGUAGGUGGCGAGCGUUAUCCGGAAUGAUUGGGCGUAAAGGGUGCGCAGGCGGUCCUGCAAGUCUGGAGCGAAACGCAUGAGCUCAACUCAUGCAUGGCUUUGGAAACUGGAGGACUGGAGAGCAGGAGGGGGCGGUGGAACUCCAUGUGUAGCGGUAAAAUGCGUAGAUAUAUGGAAGAACACCAGUGGCGAAGGCGGCCGCCUGGCCUGUUGCUGACGCUGAGGCACGAAAGCGUGGGGAGCAAAUAGGAUUAGAUACCCUAGU